rnacentral:rRNA from 1 species
GACGAACCGUGCGAAAGUUGUUCGGAAUCACUGGGCUUAAAGGGCGCGUAGGCGGCUUGCCAAGUCAGUGGUGAAAUCCCGCAGCUUAACUGCGGAAGUGCCUUUGAUACUGGCGAGCUCGAGGGAGGUAGGGGUAUGUGGAACUUCUGGUGGAGCGGUGAAAUGCGUUGAUAUCAGAAGGAACGCCGGUGGCGAAAGCGACGUACUGGACCUCUUCUGACGCUGAGGCGCGAAAGCUAGGGGAGCAAACGG